rnacentral:rRNA from 1 species
AGUGAACGCUGGCGGUAGGCCUAACACAUGCAAGUCGAACGGCAGCACAGGAGAGCUUGCUCUCUGGGUGGCGAGUGGCGGACGGGUGAGGAAUACAUCGGAAUCUACCUUUUCGUGGGGGAUAACGUAGGGAAACUUACGCUAAUACCGCAUACGACCUACGGGUGAAAGUGGGGGACCGCAAGGCCUCACGCGAUUAGAUGAGCCGAUGUCCGAUUAGCUAGUUGGCGGGGUAAUGGCCCACCAAGGCGACGAUCGGUAGCUGGUCUGAGAGGAUGAUCAGCCACACUGGAACUGAGACACGGUCCAGAAUCCUACGGGAGGCAGCAGUGGGGAAUAUUGGACAAUGGGCGCAAGCCUGAUCCAGCCAUGCCGCGUGUGUGAAGAAGGCCUUCGGGUUGUAAAGCACUUUUGUUGGGAAAGAAAUCCUGUCGGCUAAUACCCGGCGGGGAUGACGGUACCCAAAGAAUAAGCACCGGCUAACUUCGUGCCAGCCGCCGCCGUAAUAC